UGAGGAACAUGACCUUCGGCGGGGGAUAGCCGGCCCAACGGCCGGGUAAUACCGCGUACGACCGCAUGGGGACAUCCCUGAGUGGUGAAAGCAGCAAUGCGCCGAUGGAGUGCCUCGCGGCCUAUCAGCUAGUUGGUGAGGUAACGGCUCACCAAGGCGACGACGGGUAGCUGGUCUGAGAGGAUGGCCAGCCACAUUGGGACUGAGAUACCGGCCCAGACCUCGUACGGGGAGG
rnacentral:rRNA from 1 species